rnacentral:tRNA from 1 species
GGGGCCGUAGCACAGCGGCAGAUGCGCCGCACUGCACAUGCGGAGGACGUCGGUUCGAAUCCGACCGGCCCCG